GGACAAUAUAUCUCUGGGUCAGAUGUUAUUGAAGGUUCGUAGCUUAUUUCCAGAGAACUAUUGGUAUUGGAUCGGUGUUGGUGCAUUGAUUGGGUAUAUAAUAGUGUUCAACGUCCUCUUCACGAUAUUUCUGACUUACCUCAACCCAUUAGGGAGCCAGCAAGCAGUUGUUUCAAAGAAAAACACCCAAAACAAGGACAAGGAACAUGAGAGUGAAGAUAACAUUGUUCCAUUUGGAGAGUUUUUGAACCAUUCACACUCAUUCACUGGAAGAGAGAUCAAGAAACGAAGAGGCAUGGUUCUUCCGUUCGAGCCUCUUUCUAUGUGUUUUAAGGAGAUCAGUUACUACGUUGACGUUCCAAUGGAGCUUAAGCUACAGGGGCUAGUAGGAGAUAAACUGCAGUUACUAGUCAAUGUUACUGGUGCAUUUAGGC
rnacentral:misc_RNA from 1 species